rnacentral:lncRNA from 1 species
GGCUAGCACCGCUAGCAGCAAGGGUAGUACAGUGGAGCCACCCAUCAAUGCUGAGGACUACAUUGGGGUCUCAAGCUUGGUUCAGAGGAGGAAGACCUUCCAGGAACCUCCGGCCCCAGCUCCCAGCCUGAACCUGGCUCCCAGCCCCAGGGGCUUCUCGUCCUGCCAGACCGGACUGAACCAGGCCCAGAGCCAUAGCAGCGCCAUAGACAGCUCUGGUUACUCCUCUUCAGAGGCAAGACGUUACAGAGGAUACUCUGGAGACUCCUCCUUAGGCGAACAAAGGGUUAGCGCCAGCCAGAGAUCUGGCACUAACAGGACAAGUGCUAGUGCCAGCUGGACCCCUCCGUUUAUCCCGGCCAAUGUGGGGAAGGCCAUUCUAAUUGCCAUCCUCCUCAUACUCUUGACCUUCGGCUGCUGGCUCCUUGCCCCUUUGGUAUGGGCCACCCUGACUUCAGCCCUGAAUGCUAUCACUAUGACCCUGAACCGACCUGUCAUCACCCCGACUCCGCCACCUGACUUCACUACGCCACCUGUCUUCACUCCGCCUGUCAAGGCUAUGGAUGGAGCUUCGGUAUUUCAUUCUGAUCUGGAAGCCAAGAUGAACACAAUCCUGAGAGAAAUAGAAAUUCUUAAGAAGAAGGAACACCAGCAGAAAUGUGUAACCGAGAUGGUAGAGAGACUGCAGACAGACUUGGCAGACGUGAGAACAGACAUGAGGGAC